UCCGGUUUGACACCGGCAGUCCCGUUAGAGUCCCCGACAUUACUCGCUGGCAACUAACGGCAAGGGUUUCGCUCGUUAAAGGACUUAACCCAACAUCUCACGACACGAGCUGACGACAGCCAUGCAGCACCUGUGCACGUUUCACCCGAAGGCAGCUGACUCGCCUUUCGACGAGGGCAUCCGUGCAUGUCAAACCCAGGUAAGGUUCUGCGCGUUGCUUCGAAUUAAGCCACAUGCUCCACCGCUUGUGUGAGCCCCCGUCAAUUCCUUUGAGUUUUAGCCUUGCGACCGUACUCCCCAGGCGGUGUACUUAAGACUUUUGCUACGGCCGCGACAGCGUCAGAACUGCCGCGACCUAGUACACAUCGUUUACGGCGUGGACUAC
rnacentral:misc_RNA from 1 species